GAACCUGCGGAAGGAUCAUUACCGAGUUUUCGAGCUCCGGCUCGACUCUCCCACCCUUUGUGAACGUACCUCUGUUGCUUUGGCGGCUCCGGCCGCCAAAGGACCUUCAAACUCCAGUCAGUAAACGCAGACGUCUGAUAAACAAGUUAAUAAACUAAAACUUUCAACAACGGAUCUCUUGGUUCUGGCAUCGAUGAAGAACGCAGCGAAAUGCGAUAAGUAAUGUGAAUUGCAGAAUUCAGUGAAUCAUCGAAUCUUUGAACGCACAUUGCGCCCCUUGGUAUUCCGGGGGGCAUGCCUGUUCGAGCGUCAUUACAACCCUCAAGCUCUGCUUGGAAUUGGGCACCGUCCUCACUGCGGACGCGCCUCAAAGACCUCGGCGGUGGCUGUUCAGCCCUCAAGCGUAGUAGAAUACACCUCGCUUUGGAGCGGUUGGCGUCGCCCGCCGGACGAACCUUCUGAACUUUUCUCAAGGUUGACCUCGGAUCAGGUAGGGAUACCCGCUGACCUUAAGCAUAUCAAUAAGCGGAGGAA
rnacentral:rRNA from 1 species